GUAGGGGGGGCUAGCGUUGCUCGGAUUUACUGGGCGUAAAGAGCGCGUAGGGCGGCCAGGUAAGUCCGGGUGUGAAAGCCCUCGGGCUCAACCGAGGAUCCGCAUCGGAGACUACCUGGCUUGAGUCCAGGAGAGGAGGGUGGAAUUCCCGAUGUAGCGGUGAAAUGCGUAGAUAUCGGGAGGAACACCUGUGGCGAAGGCGGCCCUCUGGAAUGGUACUGACGCUGAGGCGCGAAAGCUGGGGGAGCGAACGGGAUUAGAUACCCCGGUAGUCCCAGCUGUAAACGAUGGGCACUAGGUGUGGGAGGUAUUGACCCCUUCCGUGCCGCAGCUAACGCAUUAAGUGCCCCGCCUGGGGAGUACGGCCGCAAGGUUG
rnacentral:rRNA from 1 species